rnacentral:lncRNA from 1 species
AAAAAAUUAACUGAAAGUGAAAGUGAUACUUGCGAAGGAGAAAUAACUGAAGAAGAAUGCACAGAAGCUAUAUUUAAAAUGAAAUUAAACCGUGCCCCAGGAUUAGAUGGACUAAAUGUUGAAUUUUACAGAAAGUUUUGGGUAGAAUUAAAAACUUUAAUAGUAUCAACAUUUAACUAUUGCUAUUCUAAAGGACAAUUGUCCAACACACAAAAAAUAGGCGUUAUAUCACUUAUUUAUAAAAAAAAUGACCCA